rnacentral:rRNA from 1 species
UGAGGAAUAUUGGACAAUGGGCGCAAGCCUGAUCCAGCCAUGCCGCGUGCAGGAUGACGGUCCUAUGGAUUGUAAACUGCUUUUGUACAGGAAGAAACAGUUCUACGUGUAGAACCUUGACGGUACUGUAAGAAUAAGGAUCGGCUAACUCCGUGCCAGCAGCCGCGGUAAUACGGAGGAUCCAAGCGUUAUCCGGAAUCAUUGGGUUUAAAGGGUCCGUAGGCGGUUAGAUAAGUCAGUGGUGAAAGCCCAUCGCUCAACGGUGGAACGGCCAUUGAUACUGUCUGACUUGAAUUAUUAGGAAGUAACUAGAAUAUGUAGUGUAGCGGUGAAAUGCUUAGAGAUUACAUGGAAUACCAAUUGCGAAGGCAGGUUACUACUAAUGGAUUGACGCUGAUGGACGAAAGCGUGGGUAGCGAACAGGAUUAGAUACCCCCGUAGUCCCUGAGCGGGCUGGCAAGGCGCAU